AUUGAACGCUGGCGGCAGGCUUAACACAUGCAAGUCGAGCGAGCGGCGGACGGGUGAGUAAUGUCUGGGAAACUGCCGGAUGGAGUGGGAUAACUACUGGAAACGGUAGCUAAUACCGCAUACCAUCAGAUGUUCCCAGAUGGGUUUAGCUAGUAGGUGGGGUAACGGCUCACCGAGGCGACGAUCCCUAGCUGGUCUGAGAGGAUGACCAGCCACACUGGAACUGAGACACGGUCCAGACUACUACGGUAGGCAGCAGUGGGGAAUAUUGCACAAUGGGUGCAAGCCUGAUGCAGCCAUGCCGCGUGUAUGAAGAAGGCCUUCGGGUUGUAAAGCACUUUCAGCGAGGAGGCGUUACUCGAAGAAGAAGCACCGGCUAACUCCGUGCCAGCAGCCGCGGUAAUUG
rnacentral:rRNA from 1 species